GUCCUCACGCAAUCCUGCUACCUCAGCCUUCCAAAUUGACGGGACCCUGCUGGCUGCAGCGCCUAGCCUCUAAUUUCUGACCACCAGGGGGCAUACGUCCGUUUGCAGGGGAAGUGCGGAGUGAGAUGUGAACCUCGGGGAAGGACAGCUCCUGAAACUGGUGUGUGGUAUGAGUUCAUGUGAGUAGAUGAAUACUCCUAACCUAGUGAGAUUUCAACAUUUGCGUCUCUCCUUGUGUCUUGUGGGCUGCGUGCACUGUCAUUGAGAGUAUGUGUGUAUGCAUGUGCUUGUCUGUGCAUAUGUGUGUUUCUGUUGGGAUUGCAUUUGGCUGUGAGUGACAGACAACCAAAGGAGUGGUGGCUUCAACAAAAUGGAAGUUUAUUUUUCUCUGACUUAACGUCCAGACCCAAGUGGUCCAGGAUUGCUGUGGUGUCUUGUGUGUGUGUAUUUCUUUUUUUGAGACAGGGUCUUGCUCUGUCACCCAGGCUGGAGUGCAGUGGCAUAAUCACAGCUCACUGCAGCCUCCAACUCCUGGGCUCAAGCCAUCCUCCUGGCCUCAGCCCCUGAGAACCUGCGACUACAGGUUUGCACCACCACACAUGACUAAGUUUUCUUAUUUUUGGCAGAGAUGGGGUCUUGCCCUGUUGCCCAGGCUGGUCUUGACUUCCUGGCCUCAAGUGGUCCUCCCACCUUGACCUUCCAAAGUGCUAGGACUACAAGCAUGAGCAACUGCACCCAUCAGGUUGCAAAUUCUUUGACACUUCUCUCAUUGAGCAGUUGGUCAGUGAGAGACUCAGCCUCAUUGAGCUAUAAAUAAAAGGUUCAAUUACUAUAGGAGAAAAGGAAUCUCAUAUUAGGGGAAAGUUAGUAGUCUAUGUCACAGCGUGUGUGUGUGUGUGUAAAGUUGCUAAGUGUUCUCUGUCCCUUCUCCUUGAAUGUUGGUGGACUUGUGACUGCCUUGACCCAAACAGUAGGUCUAUUAGUGUAGGCAGAAGUGAUGGCAAGUACCUUCUGAGGCUCAGUUGUAACAGGCCAUAGAGCAUCUACUUUGAUCACUGAAAUACUUGCUCCCGAAGGCUGGGCUGCCAUGUAAGAAAGUCCAACUCUCCUGAGAGCUGGAGAGGCCACAUGUGGAUGUUCCAAUUCGCAGUUCUGGCUGAGCCUUCCAGCUGCCCCUGCCAGCAUGCCAGACAUGAGUGAAGCCGUCAUGGACCCUCCGAGCCAACCCGUGUACCAGCUAAACUCCACCAAGUGACCUCAGUCAAUGGCACAAGGAGUAAAAAAAUUAUCCAGCUGAGCCUUGCCCGGAAGAUGCACUUACCAACACAAUGUUUAUCCUUGUUGACCAGGGAGUAGUCGCAUGGCCAUACCUAGCUGAAAAGAAGGCUGAAAAAAAUAAAGUCUUUAUUCUGGGCGGACA
rnacentral:lncRNA from 1 species